rnacentral:misc_RNA from 1 species
GAUGAAGAACGCAGCGAAAUGCGAUAAGUAAUGUGAAUUGCAGAAUUCAGUGAACCAUCGAAUCUUUGAACGCACAUUGCGCCCGGCAGUAAUCUGCCGGGCAUGCCUGUCCGAGCGUCAUUUCUGCCCUCGAGCGAGUCCAGCAUCUAGGUGCUGGGCCCGCCCGGCGUUGGGGCACUACGGGAAGCCCUGUGCUGUCCCCCGUAGGCCCCGAAAUGAAGUGGCGGUCCUGCCGCGGCGCCCCCUGCGUAGUAUAACAGCUCGCUUCGGGACCCGGUGGAGGCCUGCCGUCAAACCUUACUCUCUAAGUUUGACCUCGGAUCAGGUAGGUUUACCCGCUGAACUUAAGCAUAUCAAUAAGCGGAGGA